CUACAAUAUUAACUGGAAUAAUAAUGUCAUGCAAAAUCAAAAUGUUUAAAGUGAAUCAACACAGUUAAAAGCAGAAAAAAAUACCACACCAAGAGGACAUUAAAUUAGAGGGGUAAAAUUUAAAAAAAUAUCAGGAAGUAUUACAUUACUGAGAGGGUAGUGGAUGCAUGGAAUAGCCUUCCAGCUGAAGUGGUACAAGUUUAAGCAUGCGUGGGAUAAGCAUAAGGCAAUCCUAG